rnacentral:rRNA from 1 species
UACGUAGGCAGCAAGCGUUGUUCGGAGUUACUGGGCGUAAAGGGUGCGUAGGCGGUCGCGUAAGUCAGGUGUGAAAUCUCAGGGCUCAACCCUGAAACUGCACUUGAUACUGCGUGGCUCGGGUACUGGAGAGGAGACUGGAAUUUACGGUGUAGCAGUGAAAAUGCGUAGAUAUCGUAAGGAAGACCAGUGGCGAAGGCGAGUCUCUGGACAGU